GACGAACGCUGGCGGCGUGCCUAAUACAUGCAAGUUGAGCGAUGAAGAUUGGUGCUUGCACCAAUUUGAAGAGCAGCGAGCGGGUGAGUAACGCGUGGGGAAUCUGCCUUUGAGCGGGGGACAACAUUUGGAAACGAAUGCUAAUACCGCAUAACAACUCUAAACAUAAGUUUUAAGUUUGAAAGAUGCAAUUGCAUCACUCAAAGAUGAUCCCGCGUUGUAUUAGCUAGUUGGUGAGGUAAAGGCUCACCAAGGCGAUGAUACAUAGCCGACCUGAGAGGGUGAUCGGCCACAUUGGGACUGAGACACGGCCCAAACUCCUACGGGAGGCAGCAGUAGGGAAUCUUCGGCAAUGGACGAAAGUCUGACCGAGCAACGCCGCGUGAGGGAAGAAGGUUGUCGGAUCGAAAAACUCUGUUGGUAGAGAAGAACGUUGGUGAGAGUGGAAAGCUCAUCAAGUGACGGUAACUACCCAGAAAGGGACGGCUAACUACGUG
rnacentral:rRNA from 1 species